ACACAUGCAAGUCGAGGGGCAGCAUGUUGGUUGCUUGCAACCAACGAUGGCGACCGGCGCACGGGUGAGUAACGCGUAUCCAACCUACCCUUGUCCAUCGGAUAACCCGUCGAAAGGCGGCCUAACACGAUAUGCGGUUCACGGCAGGCAUCUAAGGUGAACGAAAUGUGAAGGAGAAGGAUGGGGAUGCGUCUGAUUAGCUUGUUGGCGGGGUAACGGCCCACCAAGGCUACGAUCAGUAGGGGUUCUGAGAGGAAGGUCCCCCACAUUGGAACUGAGACACGGUCCAAACUCCUACGGGAGGCAGCAGUGAGGAAUAUUGGUCAAUGGGCGAGAGCCUGAACCAGCCAAGUAGCGUGCAGGAUGACGGCCCUAUGGGUUGUAAACUGCUUUUAUAGGGGGAUAAAGUGUGCCACGUGUGGCAUAUUGCAGGUACCCUAUGAAUAAGGACCGGCUAAUUCCGUGCCAGCAGCCGCGGUAAUACGGAAGGUCCGGGCGUUAUCCGGAUUUAUUGGGUUUAAAGGGAGCGUAGGCCGUUUGGUAAGCGUGUUGUGAAAUGUCGGGGCUCAACCUGGGCAUUGCAGCGCGAACUGCCAGACUUGAGUGCGCAGGAAGUAGGCGGAAUUCGUCGUGUAGCGGUGAAAUGCUUAGAUAUGACGAAGAACUCCGAUUGCGAAGGCAGCCUGCUGUAGCGCAACUGACGCUGAAGCUCGAAAGCGUGGGUAUCGAACAGGAUUAGAUACCCUGGUAGUCCACGCGGUAAACGAUGGAUGCUCGCUGUUUGCGUCUGACGUAAGCGGCCAAGCGAAAGCGUUAAGCAUCCCACCUGGGGAGUACGCCGGCAACGGUGAAACUCAAAGGAAUUGACGGG
rnacentral:rRNA from 1 species